GAGGGGGAGAGAGGAUAGGUAGAGGAGAACUUCUCGAGAUGGAGUUUGAAGAGGAGACUCGCCCGGGUGGAAGAGAGGGAGAUGAGCAUCAACAUAUAAGUUGCCCUUAGGCAAAUGUUUAAUUUCCUGCUUCCUGGUCCUCUGUGCCAAUGAGAUGGCCUGUAGCAGGCACAUGACUGAUGAGGGAACAAUCAGAGACUUUCACUGUAAGCAUCAAUGUAGUGGAGUGUGACAACACCACCACUGUUGAAUUUAUAAACACACACACACACACACACACACACACACACACACACACACACACACACACACACACACACACACACACACGUAAAUUAUUGUCUGUUUACUGUGCCAGUAUCAGAACAGUCUAGGCCCUACAGGUAUGUUCUCUACUUUUAUAUACUACUGGCUACAAGGAUGAGACUGACUCCCAGAGCCCACCACCCUGACCUAACCUGUGAUGAAAACACAUGGAUUUGACAUGACCUGUCUACAAGUGCCAUCCCUAUGCUGUAGAGAGUAGGGUGACGUACUAGAGUGACAGAGCCUGCUAGGUGACAGGGUGUGGUAGAGAGUAGGGUGACGUACUAGAGUGACAGAGCCUGCUAGGUGACAGGGUGUGGUAGAGAGUAGGGUGACAUACUAGAGUGACAGAGCCUGCUAGGUGACAGUGGGUCAGUGUGUAGUAGAGAGUAGUGUGAGGUGUACUGUCAGGAAUAUAUGUUCCCAAACACCACAGAGUUUAGGAGAGUGUUUCCAUACACCACAGAGAAUAUGAGAGUGUUCCCAUACACCACAGAGUUUAGGAGAGUGUUCCCAUACACCACAGAGUUUAGGAGAGUGUUCCCAUACACCACAGAGUUUAGGAGAGUGUUCCCACACACCACAGAGUUUAGGAGAGUGUUCCCAUACACCACAGAGUUUAGGAGAGUGUUCCCAUACACCACAGAGUUUAUGAGAGUGUUCCCAUACACCACAGAGUUUAUGAGAGUGUUCCCAUACACCACAGAGUUUAUGAGAGUGUUCCCAUACACUACAGAGUUUAGGAGAGUGUUCCCAAACACCACAGAGUUUAGGAGAGUGUUCCCAUACACCACAGAGUUUAGGAGAGUGUUCCCAAACACCACAGAGUUUAGGAGAGUGUUCCCAUACACCACAGAGAAUAUGAGAGUGUUCCCAUACACCACAGAGAAUAUGAGAGUGUUCCCAUACACCACAGAGAAUAUGAGAGUGUUUCCAUACACCACAGAGAAUAUGAGAGUGUUUCCAUACACCACAGAGAAUAUGAGAGUGUUUCCAUACACCACAGAGAAUAUGAGAGUGUUUCCAUACACCACAGAGUUUAGGAGUGUUCCCAUACACCACAGAGUUUAUGAGAGUGUUCCCGUACACCACAGAGUUUAUGAGAGUGUUCCCGUACACCACAGCAUUUAGGAGAGUGUUCCCAUACACCAAAGAGUUUAUGAGAGUGUUCCCGUACACCACAGAGUUUAUGAGAGUGUUCCCAUACACCACAGCAUUUAGGAGAGUGUUCCCAUACACCACAGAGUUUAGGAGAGUGUUCCCAUACACCACAGAGUUAAGGAGUGUUCCCAUACACCACAGAUAAUAUGAGAGUGUUCCCAUACACCACAGAGUUUAGGAGAGUGUUCCCAUAAACCACAGAGUUUAGGAGAGUGUUCCCAUACACCACAGAGUUUAUGAGAGUGUUCCCAUACACCACAGAGUUUAGGAGAGUGUUCCCACAGAGUUUAGGAGAGUGUUCCUAUACACCACAGAGUUUAUGAGAGUGUUCCCAUACACCACAGAGUUUAUGAGAGUGUUCCCAUACACCACAGAGUUUAUGAGAGUGUUCCCAUACACCACAGAGUUUAGGAGAGUGUUCCCAUACACCACAGAGUUUAUGAGAGUGUUCCCAUACACCACAGAGUUUAUGAGAGUGUUCCCAUACACCACAGAGUUUAGGAGAGUGUUCCCAAACACCACAGAGUUUAGGAGAGUGUUCCCAUACACCACAGAGUUUAGGAGAGUGUUCCCAAACACCACAGAGUUUAGGAGAGUGUUUCCAUACACCACAGAGAAUAUGAGAGUGUUCCCAUACACCACAGAGAAUAUGAGAGUGUUCCCAUACACCAUAGAGAAUAUGAGUGUUCCCAUACACCACAGAGAAUAUGAGAGUGUUUCCAUACACCACAGAGAAUAUGAGAGUGUUUCCAUACACCACAGAGAAUAUGAGAGUGUUUCCAUACACCACAGAGUUUAGGAAAGUGUUUCCAUACACCACAGAGUUUAGGAGAGUGUUCCCAUACACCACAGCAUUUAGGAGAGUGUUCCCAUACACCACAGCAUUUAGGAGAGUGUUCCCAUACACCACAGAGUUUAGGAGAGGGUUCCCAUACACCACAGAGUUUAGGAGUGUUCCCAUACACCACAGAUAAUAUGAGAGUGUUUCCAUACACCACAGAGAAUAUGAGAGUGUUCCCAUACACCACAGAGUUUAGGAGUGUUCCCAUACACCACAGAUAAUAUGAGAGUGUUUCCAUACACCACAGAGAAUAUGAGAGUGUUCCCAUACACCACAGAGUUUAGGAGAGUGUUCCCAUACACCACAGCAUUUGGGAGAGUGUUCCCAUACACCACAGCAUUUAGGAGCGUGUUCCCAUACACCACAGCACUUAGGAGUGUGUUCCCAUACACCACAGCAUUUAGGAGAGUGUUCCCAUAGACCACAGAGUUUAGGAUUGUUCCCAUACACCACAGCAUUUAGGAGAGUGUUCCCAUACACCACAGCAUUUAGGAGUGUUCCCAUACACCACAGCAUUUAGGAGUGUUCCCAUACACCACAGCACUUAGGAGUGUUCCCGUACACCAGGCCUGUUUUACGUCUGCUUCUGUAGGUAAAAAACUAUUAUUUUCUAUUACAAGACCUUCAUCCCACUAACUUUCUAGAUUUAAAUGUAUUUAUUUAUUUUGGCAACUUCAGUUUCUCUUUUCAACUGUUACUGCAUAUGCACUGGUGUUAUAGUGAUGAUGUCACCCAUCAAUCAUCUACUUACUGAGACCUGGCUGGUCUCUCGUGUAAGCUUCUCCCCAAGGUUCCACCGUUGGUCUCAGUCAUUGGGUGUCCUGUAAUCGUAACAGAUAUUAUCUGCCUGUCAUUGGCCGAAAGAGAAGACGGACAGCUUGGCCAUCCAAUUAUAUCAUACAGACGUGGAAUCGGAUGGAUAUAGUAUGAACUCUGUGUGUUAUGCAAAGUUCCUAACCAAGUGGGAAUUUACCACAUACGACUGGGGAAAAAUCCACUUCAACAACCCCCAACUGGUGAUUACUAGCAGAUAAGUAGUAUAGCAUCCAGCUCCCACUUCUCCCACAUGCUGACCUCUGACAUCAAAAUACUAAGGAAAUGACCUCGAUAACAGCACUUUCAGCAGUUAAAAUGCAACAACAAAACAUUGUUUAAAAAAAAAAAAAUAAUCUAUUAAUAUGUUUUUUUGAACGCUAUAAUUUAUUUACAAGCAUGAUAGCUGGACUUUAAGUUUAUGGUUUAUGCAGCUUGUUGGCCAUUAGCCAAAUGGCGUUUCUCAAUGAGUUCAAAGACACGUGAAUGCAUCCAACUAGUAUUUAACAACUUCACAACUGGUAAAUUCCCACCUCCCACUUGGUUACGAAUGCAGCAUUAUUAACAACUAACGGCAAGUGUUCACUUUCUAGCUCUGUUGAUUUGGUUCAUAUGUCAUGCACUCACACUGUUUCAGUCUUACUAUAUGUUUGUAAAGAACAGCCUAACACCAGAGCAUGUAUUUAUUGUAUAGAAGCAAAGUAAACUAGAUCUUGAGCUGUGAAUUUGUAUGUAUGUACUGUCAAAUAUGAAAAGAUGGAUAUACUGUAUGUAAAGUAUUUAUAAAAUUAUAUAAAGCUG